rnacentral:rRNA from 1 species
CCUACGGGGGGCAGCAGUGAGGAAUAUUGGUCAAUGGACGAGAGUCUGAACCAGCCAAGUAGCGUGAAGGAUGACUGCCCUAUGGGUUGUAAACUUCUUUUAUAUGGGAAUAAAAUGUUCCACGUGUGGGAUUUUGUAUGUACCAUAUGAAUAAGGAUCGGCUAACUCCGUGCCAGCAGCCGCGGUAAUACGGAGGAUCCGAGCGUUAUCCGGAUUUAUUGGGUUUAAAGGGAGCGUAGGUGGAUUGUUAAGUCAGUUGUGAAAGUUUGCGGCUCAACCGUAAAAUUGCAGUUGAAACUGGCAGUCUUGAGUACAGUAGAGGUGGGCGGAAUUCGUGGUGUAGCGGUGAAAUGCUUAGAGAUCACGAAGAACUCCGAUUGCGAAGGCAGUUCACUGGACUGCAACUGACACUGAGGCUCGAAAGUGUGGGUAUCAAACAGGAUUAGAUACCCCUGUAGUC